UCGUUCGUCUUCCGGAAAUGCUGGCUUCGAACCAGGUGGUCGGGGGUUCGAGUCCCUCCGGGCGCGCCA
rnacentral:tRNA from 1 species